rnacentral:miRNA from 1 species
CCAGAGGCUAAGCCGAAACCG